rnacentral:rRNA from 1 species
UCCUCCCUCUGGCGGCGUGCUUAACACAUGCAAGUCGAACGGUGAAGCACCUUCCUUUUUGUUGGUGUGUAUGAGUGGCGCACGGGUGAGUAACACGUGAGUAACCUGCCCCCUUCUUCUGUAUAACCGCAUGAAAGGGUGUCUAAUACGGGAUAUUCUGCACCUGUCGCAUGGCGGGCCUGGAAACGGUAUUGUUGCGGUGUGUGAUGGGCUCGCGGCCUAUCAGCUUGGUGGUGGGGUGAUGGCCUAACAAGGCGAUGACGGGUCGCCGGCCUGAGAGGGUGGGCGGUCACACUGCGACUGCGACACGGACCAGACUCCUGCGGGAGGCAGCAGUGGAGCAUAUGGAACAAUGGGAGCAAGGCUGAUGCAGCGACGCGGCGUGAGGGAUGGAGGCCGUCGGGUUGUACACCUCUUUCGCCGGUGAAGAAGGCCUGUCCCUUCUGUGCGUGGGUUGACGGUAGCUGGAUAAGAAGCGCCGGCUAACUACGUG